AGAGUUUGACCCUGGCUCAGGAUGAACGCUAGCGGCGUGCCUAAUGCAUGCAAGUCGAACGGGAUCCUUUAGAUUCGUCUGAAGGUGAGAGUGGCGAACGGGUGAGUAACACGUUGGUGACCUACCCCAGAGAGGGGGAUAACUAUUGGAAACGAUAGCUAAUACCCCGGAUGUCAUUAUUGUUAGAGAGUAAUGACUGAAGCUCCGGCGCUCUGGGAGGGGCCUGCGGCCCAUCAGCUAGUUGGUAGGGUAACGGCCUACCAAGGCAGAGACGGGUAGGGGGCGUGAGAGCGUGACCCCCCACACUGGUACUGACACACGGACCAGAUACCUACGGGUAGCAGCAGCAAGGAAUAUUGCCCAAUGGACGAAAGUCUGAGGCAGCAACGCCGCGUGGAGGAAGAAGGCCUUCGGGUCGUAAACUCCUUUUUCUGGGGGAAGAGAAAGGACGGUACCCUAGGAAUAAGUCUCGGCUAACUACGUGCCAGCAGCCGCGGUAAAACGUAGGAGGCGAGCGUUAUCCGGAUUUACUGGGCGUAAAGCGCGUGCAGGCGGUUUUCUAAGUCGGACGUGAAAGCUCUCGGCUCAACUGGGAGAGGUCGUUCGAAACUAGGAAACUUGAGGAUGGUAGAGGAGAGUGGAAUUCCCGGUGUAGUGGUGAAAUGCGUAGAUAUCUGGAGGAACACCAGUGGCGAAAGCGGCCUCCUGGCCCGCUCCUGACGCUAAGACGCGAAAGCAUGGGUAGCGAACGGGAUUAGAAACCCCGGUAGUCCAUGCCGUAAACGAUGCAAACUUGGUGUUGGUGGUGUAAAAGCCAUCAGUACCGUAGCUAACGCGAUAAGUUUGCCGCCUGGGGAUUACGGCCGCAAGGCUAAAACUCAAAGGAAUUGACGGGUUCCCGCACAAGCAGCGGAGCGUGUGGUUUAAUUCGAUCUACGCGAAGAACCUUACCUGGGCUUGACAUGUUGGUUGUAGGGAUCCGAAAGGUGACCGACCCUUCGGGGAACCAUCACAGGUGCUGCAUGGCUGUCGUCAGCUCGUGUCGUGAGAUGUCCGGUUAAGUCCGGUAACGAGCGCAACCCUUGCCGUAUGUUAUACGUGUCAUACGGGACUGCCGGUAUAAAGCCGGGGGAAGGCGGGGAUGACGUCAAGUCAGCAUGGCCUUUAUGUCCAGGGCUACACACACGCUACAAUGGUCGGUACAAUAGGUCGCAAAACCGCGAGGUGGAGCCAAUCCAUAAAGCCGAUCUCAGUUCGGAUUGCAGGCUGCAACUCGCCUGCAUGAAGCUGGAGUUGCUAGUAAACGCGCGUCAGCAACAGUGCGUUGAAUACGUUCCCGGGAAUUGUACACACCGCCCGUCACGUCAUGGAAGCUGGCAACACCUAAAGUCGGUAUCCUAACCCUAACGGGAGGGAGCUGCCAAAGGUGGGGCUGGUGACUAGGACGAAGUC
rnacentral:rRNA from 1 species